CUAUUUUACUAACCUACCUAUAUGAUUCUAUGGUCCCCCCUCAAACAUCGCCUGGAUCCGCCUCUGCGCUUCAUGCGCCAAUUCAACAAUGAAAACGUCAUUUUCAUUCGUUUUAAAUUGCGACCAUUGUUCUUUCAUCCACGUCAGAAUUACAUACAUUGAAUGGGAAGCGACAGAGGUAUUGAGGCAACACAUGCAAAUCGAUUGUAUAUGUUUACGGGCUGACAAACCCACUUCAUUUUAAUCUUUCAUAGAACUAUUUGAUUUUUCACAUCGGUUAAACAUCUCUCUGAAAUUGGAAAUAUGAAUUUGGAAUUCUGAAUGCAAUUAUACUGUCUGGCAAAACAAGAUGAACACCCGUAAAUGCUCAUCUGAUUUUAAAAAUACCAUUUAUACCAUAAUAGACAUUGAAAGAUCGGGUCUAGGAUAUCAAUCGUAUGAAUGCACCAACAGAUGUCUACAGAAAAAUCGACAGAAUGUUGGCGUCCAGAAUACGAAAAAGAUUGCAGCAGGGGCAGUACUUUCUUGAUUCUUGAAAGAUGAAGAGUGCAAUAGUACUUUCUUGUUUCCAUUAAUUCUUCCUAAUAUUUUAAUUUUGUUUUAUGAAUGUACCAAUAUUUAUUAACACUGAAUUUGAGUGUUAUAAACCCUUUUACACUGUUUCUAGAAGGAUUAUUGAAAUGAAACACCAAAUAAUUUGGUAAAAUAAUAUUCAAUAAACAAUAUACAUGCCAUAGUUAGGGAAAAUGUACAUUCAGGGUCCUCCAAGGAAUAAAAACCAAAAUUAUUUUUAAAAUUGGAAAAAAUACAAUAGAACCACUUAACUCUUGUAGGAAGCAGAUGACCUACAUGUGUAGAAAUCGAAAAUUAAGAGUAUUAUUUCAAUGACUCAGUUAUUAUUGUAAAAUGUACAAAGCGAGAUAACAAAAAGCACGAAAUAACAAUUGUGGUAACAAUAUAAUCGCUCUAAUCAUGAAAUGGUAAUUUCAAAAAAUUAUGAAUAAAUACAGUUCCCCCCACACAAUCCAAAAU